GCCGUGGAUUCAACGGCUCGUCUGAAAUGCCUGAGUGUACCCUGCUUUGCGGCGUAUUCAGUGUGAUACAUCUUCACUGGAGUUGCUCCUUUUUGGAUCGCGUCUGUAUGGUGUGGCUCUAUGCUUUCCAACUGUCCUCUUCAUGGGACAAUCUCUGACAAUUUGACCUCAAAUCGGGUGGGACUACCCGCUGAACUUAA
rnacentral:misc_RNA from 1 species